CGGGACAAAGCGGAAGCUUCUCCAAGGCUGCAGCUGCACCACUCCACGCACGCCAGACGCCACUCUCUUCUGCCACAACAAGCAGCUCGGGCGCAACAGAACAAAUCGGCCCAGCAAGAGACAAUGGCCCGCACGACGGCGCCGGCCGCGGGCUACGGGGCGGACGGAGUGUACCGCUCCCCGCGCCCGGCCGUGCGCAUCGAGUCCGACCCGGGCCUCUCCCUCAACGACCUCCUCUUCCGCCGCGCCGACGCGUGCCCCUCCGCCCUCGCGCUGGUCGACUCCGCCACCGGCCAAUCCCUCACCUUCGCCGCCUUUCGCUCCGCCGUCCUCACCACGGCCGUCGCGCUCUCCUCGCGCGCGGGCGUCCGACGCGGCGAUGUCGUCCUCUUCUUCGCCCCCAACUGCUUCCUCUACCCCGUCUGCUUCUUCGCCGUCACCGCCCUCGGCGCCGUCGCUACCACUGCCAACCCCCUCUAUACCCCUCGGGAGGUCGCCAAGCAGGCCACCGACUCGCGCGCCAAGCUCGCAAUCACAGUCUCUGAACUCCUUCCCAAAAUCGUGGACCUCCGCCUCCCCACCAUCCUGCUCGACGUCGACGGCGGCGCGGCCAGUGUCACCGCCUCCAAGCCUCAGGGCGCCAGCGUCACGCUCUACUCAGACCUCAUUUCUGGGGUGCGGGAGACGGAGUACCGCCGCCCGCCGACGAAGCAGAGCGAUACGGCCGCGCUGCUGUACUCGUCCGGCACGACGGGGGCGAGCAAGGGCGUAAUCCUGACGCACCGCAACUUCAUCUCGGCGGCGGCCAUGAUGACAGCGGACCAGGACGAGCUCGGAGAGGGGCCCAACGUCUUCCUCUGCUUCCUGCCCAUGUUCCACAUCUUCGGCUUGUCCGUCCUCACGUUCGCGCAGAUGCAGCGUGGCAACUCCGUCGUCGUGAUGUCACGGUUUGACAUGGACUCUGUGAUGGCCGCCGUGCAGCGGCACCGUGUCACUCACCUCUUCUGCGUGCCGCCGGUCAUGAUAGCGCUCGCCAAGCUCGGGAGUGUCGGGAAAUACGACCUCAGCUCGCUCAGGUUCAUCGGCUCGGGCGCAGCGCCGCUCGGCAAGGACGUGAUGGAGGGCGUGGCCAAGAACUUUCCAGAAGCCGUGAUUGCCCAGGGUUAUGGAAUGACUGAAACUUGUGGAAUCAUAUCUUUAGAGUACCCAGAAAAAGGACAAGUUCGUCAAUUUGGGUCAACUGGAGCACUUGUCUCGGGAGUUGAAGCAAAAAUUGUUGAUGUAGAAACAUUGAAAUGUCUGCCGCCAAAUCAACUAGGAGAAAUUUGUGUUCGAGGACUGAACAUAAUGCAAGGAUAUUUCAACAAUGUGCAAGCUACUGAAUUUACAAUCAAGCAAGGGUGGUUGCAUACUGGUGAUAUUGGAUACUUUGAUGAAGGAGGUCAGCUUUUUGUAGUUGAUAGACUUAAAGAACUGAUUAAGUACAAAGGUUUUCAGAUUGCACCCGCUGAGCUUGAAGGGCUACUUCUGUCUCAUCCAGAAAUUCUGGAUGCUGUUGUUAUCCCAUAUACUUGCUCCCAAGGUUCCCCGAUGCUGAAGCUGGGGAAGUUCCUAUUGCCUACGUCGUAAGGUCCCCUGUGAGUUCUUUGACUGAAGUUGAUGUCCAGAAAUUUAUUGAAAAGCAGGUCGCAUACUACAAAAAAUUGAGGAGGGUUACCUUUGUGGACAGCGUACCAAAAUCUGCUUCAGGAAAGAUUUUGAGAAGAGAACUGAUCGCUAAAGUCAGAUCGUCCAAGCUAUAGCAAACCAGCUUCUGUUUCGUAAGACUGCUUGCCUCCUAUCUACUCCCUCCAUUCCAAAUUGGAAUUUAUUCUGCCUUCUUAGAUACAUAGUUUUUUCUAUGCAUCUAGAUAUACAAUAUGUCUAAAUACAUAGUAAAACGAAGUAUCUAGAGAAGCUAGAACGACUUACAAUUUGGAAAAGAGGGAGUACUAGAUUGGAAAUUUGUCAAUUGAGCGUAAAGGUUUACCUGUUGCUGAACAGAGCUUAUCAAGCAAAACAUUCAGUUUGACACAUCAGACAUUGCGCGUGUAUAUCAUCAUAUAUGUGAGACAUAUAUGCUCCAGUUGGCCCCAAUCCCAGUAGCCAUACAUGGCAGUGUUGUGUCACUUGUAUCGAAUAUUGGGUCUGAUUUACAUACACCACAUAUUUCAUCUAUAUAAGUCGACGUUCUUGGUCCAUAGUCCAUACAGACAGUUGUAUCAAGAAAUAUUGUCUGGUAGUUUGUGUAGCCAGCGCACUACCUGUGGGACUGUGGCUGACUGUUAGCCGUGAGCGCACUAUCUGUGCCUGUUAGCCAUUCACCCAUCAUCCCAUCCCAUCCUCACUUCUCUAUAAAUGUUUAUUUUGUUGUGAAGGUCCAAAGACCUGUUUUAUCUA